ACUGCUGGUCUGGGUGCAGGCCUGGUCUCUCUCUCUCUCUCCGCUGCAGGGUGUGACUGGCAGGUGUGUUGCAUCUCGGCCAAUUAAGGCUCGUACUUAAGGAGCUGAGACCAGGAGGAGGGCGUCAGUUCUUUCUCGCUUCCAGAGUGAAACUCAAAGAAUCCGAGAAACCUUCAAGCCUGGACCCUCCUCGAAACCUGCAGUUCUCCUACCGUAAAACCACCUUGACCCUCCUCUUGGUGCUCACCUGCCUGUCCACCCUCCAACACAAACAGCAUCGCAGAGAGAACCACUGGAAUACACCCGGACCCAGGACACCCCCCUCCCAGACUUCUGCCAAGCCACUGCCUCUAACCCAGAACGAGCCAACCAGACGCACACCCCGUCCUUUGUUUAAUAAAAACCAUUUUU